GAUGAAUGCUGGCGGCGUGCCUAACACAUGCAAGUCGAGCGGCUGCGCGGGUAGUUUACUACCUGGCGGCGAGCGGCGGACGGCUGAGUAACGCGUGGGAACGUACCCCAAAGUGAGGAAUAACUGCCCGUAAGGGUGGCUAAUGCCGCAUAUGCUCUUCGGAGUAAAGCUUUAUGCGCUUUGGGAGCGGCCCGCGUCGGAUUAGGUUGUUGGUGAGGUAAUGGCUCACCAAGCCGACGAUCCGUAGCUGGUCUUAGAGGAUGAUCAGCCAGACUGGAACUGAGACACGGUCCAGACUCCUACGGGAGGCAGCAGUGAGGAAUCUUCCACAAUGGGCGGAAGCCUGAUGGAGCAACGCCGCGUGCAGGAUGAAGGCCUUCGGGUUGUAAACUGCUUUUAUAAGUGAAGAAUAUGACGGUAACUUAUGAAUAAGCACCGGCUAACUACGUGCCAGCAGCCGCAGUAA
rnacentral:rRNA from 1 species